CACUGACUUUGAGCCUUGUUUAUUGUUAUUGCUAACGAAAUCUUGAUUGAGUACUGAAGUCACUUAACAUGAAUAGGUUGAAGAUCUGGAUCCAAAGCUGUGGUUUCAAAAAGAUGGUGCUCUACCUCACUGGUCCUUGGAUGUUUGGAAAACUUUGAAUUGAACACUUCCGAGAUGCUGGAUUGGGCGUGAUGGACCCAUGAAUUUGCCUCCACGUUCUCCUGACAACACACAACUGAAUCUUUUUCUCUGGGUCUAUGCAUUACUGAAAUUGUGGAAAUUAUCGGUAAACAUUCCUCCAGACAUGGUGCAGCAAGCCUGGAUGGAAACUGAAUACAGACUAGACAUUCCUUGCAUCACUGCAGGGUCUCAUGUGAAAGAGUGUUCAUUUGAUAUUAUAUGCAAGAAUUUCACAUGUGUUUUAGUUUGACAUGUAUUUUUUUAAAAACUUAAUUUGACAUACAACUUAUUUUUGAGAAGUAAAUAAAUUUAUUUCAUUUAUUUGUGUGUUGGAAGCAAACUGAAAAUGGGGUAUAUCGGUGCAGACACAUUGUGCAUACUUAACAAGCAAAACAUCUGCAAUGCAUACAAAAAAUGUGGAACAUAUGUAUCAGUAGGUAACCAUUUUUUCACAUUUUGUAACAUGUCAACAUCUUGUCAUUUAUUUUGUAAUAUUGUAAGCCUAUAUUUUUCUCAAUUUAAUGUUUUACAGCUUAUGUUAUACAUAAAAGUACAUGAAAUGUUACACAUAAGACAUAUCAACAUUUGUUAACAAUAGUUAUUUAAAUACUGAUUAUAAAAAUAUGUUAAACAUUUAUACAAUGGCAGUGAUCUUAGAAUAAAUUUGUUAAUGCCUCUAGGAAGCGUUCCC